UCAAAAAGUGUUAUUAAUGCAUAUGUCUAUGUGGUGCAUAAUGUGAUAGUGUGAGAUUGUAACUGCAUGAUAUUGAGGCAUUCUGACUAUUGCAGCAACAAUUCUCACCAGUAUUGUUUACACAAAGAAGGAAGAGAAAAGUAAUCAGAGGAAGAGUCGGUUUAGAGCAAAGUCACACCGGAUCAUCAUGGCAGAGAAGAGAGGAGGGGAACAAAAAAAACAGCGUUCUGAGAGCAUCUGAGAGACGAGAUUUUGUCCUGUGUAGAGAGAGAUUGACUGUCUCAAUCAUCGAAUUAGGAUGUAUCUCAUUUGGGCGACUCUGCUCUUCACUUUGAAAAGCAACACUGCUAACACCGUUGCAUCUGAAGGGGCAGUCACAUCAACAGCAGAGGCCGGACUCUGUGUUGUUAUACCCUGUAAUUUUACUUCUGACCCUAACUUCAAUUUGUCAAGUGCAUUUUGGUACAAAUGCGAACAGAACUGUGAUGAUUCUAAUACAAACACCAACCUCAAUACUUUGUUCAAUGGACGAGUGUCACCGUUGGAGCCUGAUCUGAGUCAGAAGAACUGUGGCAGCAUCAUAAUCAAUGACCUCACUGUUUCAGACUCCGGAUCAUAUAAACUCCUGAAUGGAAUAAAUGAAACAUACAAUUAUACAGUAACUAUCACAGUAAGAG